GAUCAGGAAGUUCGGCCCCACGCCCUUCGACGCGGCCGACUGGCAACCCGGGAUUCGCCCUGUGGUGCCCUCGAAGGAAGAUCCGCCCUGCGGCCACUCCGGUCCGGGGAAAGAUCGCGAG
rnacentral:ncRNA from 2 species